rnacentral:rRNA from 1 species
UUGAAUUUCGGGGUCAGUAGGUUGGUCGUGCCACCGGUACGUACUGGUCUCACUGAUUCCUCCUUCCUGAUGAGCUGUAAUGCCAUUAAUUUGGUGUUGCAGGGAAUCUGGACUGUUACUUUGAAAAAUUUAGAGUGUUUAGAGCAGGACUAACGUCUGAAUACAUUAGCAUAGGAAAAUAAAAUAGGUACGUUCGAUCCUAUUUUGUUGGUUUCGUAGGAUUGACGUAAUGUUUAAUAGGGUAGUUGGGGGCAUUAGUAUUCAAUUGUCAGAGGUGAAAUUCUUGGAUUUAUUGAAGACUAACUACUGCGAAAGCAUUUGCCAAGGAUGUUUUCAUUAAUCAAGAACGAAAGUUAGGGGAUCGAAGACGAUCAGAUACCGUCGUAGUCUUAACCAUAAACUAUGCCGACUAGGGAUCGGAUGAUGUUAAUUUUAAUGACUC